AGCUAAUAGAUACCCAGGUAGUCCCAGCAGUAAACGGUGCGCGUUUGGUGUGAGCAGAUUCGACUCUGUUCGCGCCGGAGCUAACGCGUUAAACGCGCCGCCUGGGAAGUACGAUCGCAAGAUUAAAACUCAAAGAAAUUGACGGGGGCCCGCACAAGCGGUGGAGUAUGUGGCUUAAUUCGAUGCAACGCGAAGAACCUUACCUGGGUUUGACAUGCAUCUCUAAGGAGGUGAAAGCUUCCGAGGGUAGCAAUACCCGAUUUGCACAGGUGCUGCAUGGCUGUCGUCAGCUCGUGUCGUGAGAUGUUGGGUUAAGUCCCGCAACGAGCGCAACCCUUGUAUGCUGUUGCUAUGCUUACGCAUAGCUCUCUGCGUAGACUGCCCCGUGAAACGGGGAGGAAGGUGGGGAUGACGUCAAGUCAGCAUGGCCCUUACACCCAGGGCUGCACACGUACUACAAUGCUCAGUACAAUUAGAACCUGCCCCGCGA
rnacentral:rRNA from 1 species